GCCUGAGCAAGGGCGAGUCUGCACCCGCACGGCCGCCCCGAGGCCCUGAGGCGUCUCAGGAGCGGGCAGCAGCCCCGCCAGAGGCUCCCCCGACGCCCAGGCAAGCUGACCGUGCAGGAGGCCGGACUCAGAGCACAGAGACAGAGCCUGGGCUUGUUUCCCAGAGGAAACGCCCCUGUGCUCUGGCCACGCGAGAUAAGCAGGAGGGCAAAGCUGGGGAAGUUCGGGGGUGGAGGCCUGGAGUCGGGACUGGCAGGAAGGCCAGAGGUCUGGACUGUGCAUGGGGCAGGCCCUCCCCAGGCCCUGACGCGCCAGCCACCAACGUGUGGGUGAUCAGGUCACGGGGGAGCUCGCUCCUGUGAUGUGUCAGCGUGCUGAUAAGAAAAGGGACAGGAAGGGCGUUCACCAAGGACCCGACCUGGCAGCCUUGACCUUGAACUGUGGCCGUAACCAUCUGGUCCAGCCACACAGUCCCGGGGCGUGGACAGCAGCCUGAGCAGACCAGGGAAACCAGGGAGACCAGCAAACCACGGAGAGGCCGGGAGCUCCACAGCACCUUCCGUCUCGGGGUGCUACCCCCGCCCGUCACCAGCACCAAACACCAGACUGCUGACCCCCUGGAGUUCUGAGUUACACAAACAUCACAACGAAUGAACAGUUUACUUAAUAGUAAAAAUUCUGGUGGACGAGCCAGCCAAGUGCAAACAAAAUCUAGCAAACACGUGGGUAUCACCAACGUAUGGUCCUUGUGCAAGAAUGGAAUGCAGUGACGUCACCACCAUAGAUAGCCCUGCCCUGUGGAAUUGGUCCUCCAUGGUUGUGGAGGCGGGGUAACUACCGAACACUGUCUCCUGGCUGCUCCUUCACAAGCGCAGUCCGUCCACGCCGGUACAGAGGUCUGCAGUGGGGAACGCGGGCGUUCCCAGCGGGGCCAGCCUGUCUUCUCACACUUCUGCAGGACUGCAGCCGAGCAGAGGGAGACACGUCUACUGCAAAACCACUGAACCAAGGAAAGGCGAUCAGGGUUCCACUUACACUUGAAGACGGCCAACAAGUAAGGGAAGAAUCAACCCAAGACAAACCCACGUAGAGUCUUACAAACGCAGCGUCCAAACACCGCUGUCCAGAGGUUGACACAGCACUUUCAUAAACUGGCAUGAACUGCAGGUAAGAGACCUUCUUGAAACACCUUGUGUUUUAAAGGAUUUACCCAUGUGACUGAAAAAAGCCAUAAAAAACCCAACGUGCUUUAUUUCUUUUGCCAAUGACAUGACAGAACUUGGUUAUGAAAUACUGGAAUCGGUAGGCUUACUCGAGACUCAGUAAAAGGCUGUCCGUAGGUGAAAGUGCCCCCGCUCUGCAGACCCAUCCACGGACCUUAAAAGGCAAGAACCUCAGAUCGUCUGAAGUGAACGUACACUGCGCACACAGAGACCCGUGGAGUGCCGCCGUCUCCCAGCAUAGGCAGCGUCUUCAGCAGCUCACGCCUCUGCAGAGCGUCCUAGCUUUCUUCAGUGGCUGGAGGGACAGAAGGAGGCCCCUGGGGAGCCCCGUCCGCGCUCCUUGGGAGAGGCAGGAAGAAACUGCAGACCACGCCUCUCUUCCCCAAACCACUGUGCGGCGAUCGGCUCCUGGGCCUCCUUGGAGGUGUGUUCCCUGAGCCAGUGGCUAGAUUUCCACUUAGUGAAAUCACGGAGCAGAGAGGACAAAGGCGAAUGUCACUUCUCAGGGCACACGUGUUGCCCAUGUGAAUCUGCUGGAAUCCAAGAACAUUCCUGCCAGCACGGAGUUCCACCGGCGCCCCUCCAGGACGAUGGCACACCUGUGUCCGCGUCACCUGGGACAAAUUGAACCAGUACGCAUUGGACACCGUGCCCAGCAGAGAUGACCUUCCUGCCACAGGCCCGAGGCAGCAGGCUCCCCGCACAACCUUUCUCCACGACAGCCUCCGCAGAUCAGCUCUCCAUGUCAUGUGCGUGGCAUUUCCUGCUUCAGAUACUAAGAAACCCACUGGGGCCCCACUGCAUUUGGGGAGGUUUGUGAGGAUGCGGUGGGAUGAGGAACACUACCGUCCGAGGAUCGUGCACGUGGACCCCGCUUUGCUAACGGCACUGAUUCUCCCCGUGAAGCCUGCUUCAAAGGACUGUGUGUCGAGAUGAGGUUUUUGCCAUUAUUAUUUUUUAAUGUAGUUACUGUUUUAAAAGAAUUUCAUAAAGCUGCUACGUUUGAUGGAAACAUACAUCCACUAAGAAAGAAGUGUGUGUUUUUCACCUUUAAGCAGCUGGGCUCAUUACUUAGGACUUGAGAAAAGAGAACAGCAGUUUCUAGUUUGAUUAUCUGUCUAACCUGCACAAUUUUUAUAUAAUGUACCAUCUAAGGGGAAAAAACUAAAAGCAUAAGAUUUUGACAUGCCUAUACACAGAAGCAUCUUCAAGGAAACCACAGUGUUUGAGAGUAUGGUCAUCACACCUGGACUUCAGGUCCACCCAGCUGUUGGUCUAAACCCUGGCUUCGGCCCUGACAUUGGUACAUUUAUAUACUCAACACGGUUGCUCCUAUUUUAUUUUAUACUGCAGCAAAUCAGAUAAAAAGCUUGUCCUAAUGAGCUUGCAACCUAGAGCAGGAGCCGGAAGACUGUCCUGCACAGGAUCAAACAUAGCACACGUCUGCAUGGCCAUAGGCCAUGCUCCGCCCAGAGGUCACUUGGAGCCACAGCCGUGGGUGACAGCAAUCUUUCCACCUGGGCGCUACUACAUUGGAAUCAGACAGAUGCUGGUAGCAGCCCACCUAGCAUGGGAUGACUGUAAAGUGUGCUCACAUGCUGCCCACACUGUCCACAUGGGGAGUUGAAAAUCACUGCUCUGAAGAUUAGCUCUUCACCCUUGCCAGGGAGGUUAAAAACAAGAACAUGAAAACUAGAAAAGAUCCAACAUUACUCACUUCUCUGGCCAAAGCUCAGCUUGGAGCUACCGCACGGCAGGCUGUUACCAGUCUCAGCACAGACAACUUGCACUGGGAGACGUACUCAGCUGGGGAACACAGAAAACCCCGAAUUAAAUCUAGGAAAAGGAGAAGCGGCAAGAUGGCGGGGUGGUGUCUUCCCAGAGGAUGCGUAGCUGCCCCUGCCUUGGAUGCAGAAAGCUCUGGAGGGAGAACGGACUCAAGGCCAGUUUUUCCACCAGAGAAGGAUGACGGGUCAGGAACUGGCCUUCUCCUCUCGUCUUCGUCUAAGGCCACUGAGAUCUCCAGCUGACUGCUAACUCUUUCCACAUUUGUGUGGGAAAUAAAAUUCCCACGGGUGGCUUACCACAGACAUUAUGAUGGUGUUUUCCGUCUUCCUGGGUCUCAGUGCUACUGUGUGUGAACUGCUUAAGGACAGUGGAGACCGUUCGGUUGCACAGCUGGUGUCUCCAGGGAGGUCACUGUGCUGCCUUUAUGGGACUGCGUUCCUCCCAUGCUGUGGGAUCAGAACUGACAUCCAGAAAGCAAGCCACCGUGGAGGCCAGCCCAGCUCCAGGGGCGGUUUUAUGUGCACACAGUUCGUAACAGACAUGAAAUGUGUCUGACUUGAUUAAUAAAGGAAACAAAGUUUUACAACUUUCAGAUUAUACUCAGGAGGCAUAUCACUGGAAAAAAGAGCAGUCCUAGUGUCAGGAUAGCUUGGGGAACUGUAUCACCUGUCGACGGCUUUUCCAAGUGCUAAAUGAAAUGCCACGGCCGCUGAGGACUUAGCUAGACAAACUUACGUCCCAGCGCACCGGCCAAAUGCCCUGAAGGCCUGCUUCCUGUGAUGCUCUGACUGCACAUGAAGUGUGGGUCUACCAAGUGAGAUAGAGAUGCAUUCUUCCAGGAAAUCACCUGGCCUCUGCUCAUGGUCUUAUUUUACAUUUAUAUCUAAAAAUCAAUACAAAUACGAUCUUCCAAAAUGUUAUUCCCUCCCCUACAAGAGCUACAAUGAAGAGAAAUCCAACACUACUAGAUGUAAGGUCUUAGCUCGUUGGAGACUUCGGCAUUUAAUCGGAAGGACUCAGGACGGAGGAUGCCUGAAAGGGGCCGAGUCAGGGUCAGGACCAUCGUGGCGUGCGGUCUGCUGGCUUUACGCAGUCAGCACGUUUCCUGGAGGGGCUUGGCCUCCAUGCUCCUCCAGCCCUGAGCCCGCUCUCUGGCUACAGGAGUGCACGGCUGCCCUCGGAGGCCUGGAGGACGGCGUCCAGGGCCUCACAGCUCCCAGAACAUGCAGAUGCUCCACCCUCCUGCAGGAGGGCACGGCGCUGGCACAUACGCUACGCGCGCUCCCAGGGUCCAGCUCUUCUCUGCCCACCUAGAGCAUCAGACGAUGCAGACGCCGUGGAAGUGACGUACACUACACUGCGCAGGGUGUGAGAGGGAGAGGCCUCUGAGCUCAGCACAGGAGCAAUCGUCAUGCUGAAUAUUCUCGACUCACGGAAGCUUCUGCCAUGGGUGCAGGUCCUGUGGAUGCAGAGGGCCAGCGAUCACAGCCUCGCUAGGAGGGACAAGUCAGUGGGUAACGGCAGCCUGUGUAGAAAGUGGGCCGGGCAAGCACACGCCUGUAAUCCCGGUGACUCGGGGAGCGAGGUAGGAGGAGCCCGCGUUCAAAGCCAGCCUCAGCAGCUUAGUGAGACCCUAAGCAACUCAGAGAGAGCCUGUCUCCGAACGAAAAAUACUGGGGAUGUGGCUCAAUGGGCGAGUACCCCCGAGUUCAAUCCCUGGUACCAAAAAAAAAAAAAAAGUCUUCAUUUUGAUAUCAUGACUAAAACUAGACAAUAAAGAACCGAUCGGCUGGCUUACUAUUCUAUCAGUUAUUUGGAAUGUGAUAAUAGCAGCUAAGGUUUUCAUUCAAUUUAAAAUCUACUGUUUUACAUCUUGUCACAUAGACUGGACCUUUUGUCAACAGCAUCAUAUUCAAGUAUGCGUCUUGUAAGAU